rnacentral:rRNA from 1 species
UGAAAAGAUUUAUCACCAUAAGAUGGACCCGCGUCUGAUUAGCCAGUUGGCAGGGUAAAAGCCUACCAAAGCAACGAUCAGUAGCCGAUCUGAGAGGAUGACCGGCCACAUUGGGACUGAGACACGGCCCAAACUCCUACGGGAGGCAGCAGUGGGGAAUAUUGCACAAUGGGGGAAACCCUGAUGCAGCGACGCCGCGUGAGUGAAGAAGUAUUUCGGUAUGUAAAGCUCUAUCAGCAGGGAAGAUAAUGACAGUACCUGACUAAGAAGCCCCGGCUAACUACGUGCCAGCAGCCGCGGUAAUACGUAGGGGGCAAGCGUUAUCCGGAUUUACUGGGUGUAAAGGGAGCGUAGACGGAGUGGCAAGUCUGAAGUGAAAACCCUGGGCUUAACCUGGGGACUGCUUUGGAAACUGUUAAUCUAGAGUGUUGGAGGGGUAAGUGGA